rnacentral:lncRNA from 1 species
GUGUGUGUGUGUUUCACGUAGGGGUACUUGCAACUUCCUUGUAGGAAAAAAAAACAAGUGUUUAGCUAGCGCCCAGAUUAAUGGUGUUGCAAAAUUCAAAUAUUUUUGAGAUAGCUCCAAGCCCGAAUUUAUAGUUACACCAAAUCAGCAUAGACAUUACACAUAAAAAAAUCACCAUGACUCUAAUGUGUUCGGUAUAAAAUGACUAACUAGAAAUUUUGAUGUUAAUGGCCAUUUAACACUCAAACUUUGUUUCCUUUCCUCCAUCCUUGCUAAGUAGGAAGAAAAGAGAUGGCAAAAUUCAGGUGUGGGGGCAAAUAAAAUGCCCGGACAUGGUUUAGAUAUUCACAUAAUAAUCUGCUCAUGAUUUGGUUGAUAUCACAUAAAAAUUCAGUGCUUGCUUGGUACUCUAAUGGCUGCGUCCAACAUUUUAUUUGUUUGCUUUCUUCUUGUAGCGAAACUUGUGGCAAAGCUUUUGUCGUCCUUUGAGGGGAAAAAAAUGGCGGCGGUUCCCUUGUUUAGCUAGGAGCAGCAGAAUAUCCUGUUGGAUUUUUCAUCAGGCAACCGUUAAAUAUCCUGUGAAAAGACGAUUUUGGUCCUGUGGCCCCUCCACCCUUCUCCCUCCUUUGUUCCGCACCGCACGGGCUCGUCCGCACUAUUUCUUACAAAUUUACAGUAGUUGCCAUGUCCUAGCUAGCUGGUGCAGCUGAUAUUGCUCUCCUCGCUGCCACUACUACCGUUCGCGUUGUUGUCACUAUAAUUGUUAUCCUUCGCCCGCCACGCGGACGCCGAGAAGAGCGGCCGCCCGUGCCACCCCCAGCGUCACGCACCCGUCGGCCUCCUCCAUGCGGUGGCCCUCCCUAGAGAAGAGCCCCACCAACAUCCUCGCCUACCACAUCGCGUUGGCCCCCCAGUGGCACGCCGGCCAGCCCAGCGCGCCCCAGCCUAUCCCGCCACCGCCGCAGUGGCUUGUGCUGCUCCCUGCACUCCGUGCCUUCGCCGCACACGAUGUCGCAGAUCUCCCGCUCCAGGUACGCCUCGGCCACGGCGUCGCUCGCCGCGUCUAGAGACUCGAACACCGCAGAGUAGUAGAAGAGCACCUCCAUGAACCGCGAACACCCUGGGGCGCAUGGACGACACGCAAUCGAGGACGACGUCGAUGGGCACCCGUGCUUCGUCGGUAGACGCAGACGGGUCGGCGAUGAGGCGGUGGAGCUGGAGCACGGAGUUGAUGGCUACGGCCUCACCCUGUGACACUUGCAGCAUCUAGGGGUAGACCUCAUUGAGGCGGUUGGCGGCCAUGCUGCAGAAGGAGAAGUGGACACGCACUUUAACAACCAGGUGUUAAAAAGCUCAAGAAUGGCUAUUAAGGAGUUAAUGAUAAAAUUUGGAUGCUAAGAAGGUGUUAUGGCCAAAGUCAACUUUAGGUCAAAAAUGUGACCAAAAAUGCAAAUUUAAGAUUCCAAACUGAAGAAAUGUGACAAAUAUGUGAAGCUGAGCCUAUAUUUGGAACUUAAGCGAAGCAAAUUGGAGAUAAUAUUCCAGUCAGAAGCAUCAAAAUUCAGAGAUCAAAUUGGUGAAUUAAAGUUACUGUUGCAUAUCUGAAAUUUUUCAGUUUAAAAACAGUGACAGACAUCCAGCUUAAAAAUUUAUUUCUGAAAGGUUUUUCAUCUAAACCGUGUGAUGUUUUGGACCACAAUUGGACUUGGGCUAUUAAAGUGUAAUUUGGAAUUGUUUUUGUUAAGAGAAGUCAAAAGUUUCAAAUUUUAAACAAGACUCAAAGUUUGCAAGUUGGACUGUUUUCAGCGAGUUAAAUCUGAAACUAGUGUGGAGUAUACCACUUUGGAAUUCAGUUGUCGAGAAUUUCUGAAAAAAUUUGGAUCUCAAGUGAACUAUGAUGUGCAUAAACCUUUUGAUUAUGUUGAUGGACAGGGAAAAGAAGAAUUUCAAUUUUAUUUGGAAGUUCAAAGAUUGGAAGUGCACACAGUUCAGACUUAACUGUCGAACUGAAUGGCAAAAGCAAUUGAGUCUGAAAAACAGUAAGGAAUGACCAACUUUGGGCUUGAAUUCGGAGAGAUUUCAUAUUAAUAAAUUGGAUCUUUUUGUAGCCUAAUUAUUAUUGGAUGUUUAGAGAACAAUUUUAAACAGUUAUUGUACAGGGAAAAAUAGGAAUUCAAAUUUUUCUCAAAGCUCAAAGUGUGAAUGUUUCACUAUCAACGUGCCUGACGAAACUGAAUGGCAAAGGCCAUUCAGUUCGAAGAACAGUAAGGUGUAGUAAAAACUUGGGCUUGAAUUUUUGGAAGAUUUGGUAUAUAAUCGUUGGGCUCUAAGCUGCAAAAUGGAAUCCCUAAUAAGUGAUUUGCAUUUGUCAGUAGCUUUUGGACAAGGAAUAAUGGUUUAAGUAUUUCAAUUGGAAACUAAGGUUGAAAUGUGCACUGUCACCAUAACUGACGAAACUGAAUGGAAUAUGGCAGAUUUUGGCUCGAAUUUCUGGAAGAAUUUGUAUCUACAAGUUGGACCUUAACAUGCAAAAUGGAACCUCUGUUAUAUGGUUAACAAGUUACAGAAGUUGUUGGGCAAGUUAAGCCGAGUUUAAAUAGUUGAAUUUGAAUUCAAAGAUUGAGCCAUGAACUAUUAAUCACCUGACGAAACUGAAUGGCAGUGGCUGUUUCAGUUCCAAGAACAGUGAGAAAUGAUCAACUUGGCUCAUAAAUUUUGGGAGAUUCUAUACGUAUAAGUUGGUUUUUAGCAUGCAAAAUGGGAUCUAUAAUACAUAAUAAACAAUCGACAGUAGGUCUUGGACAAGAAAAUGUUGGUUUGAAUAAUUAAAUUGGAGCUCAAAGAUUGAAAACGGCACUGUUUCAACAUGGGAUGUUAACUGACGAGCAGGUUCAGAGAAAGCUCGAGUUUUCGCCCAGGUUCAGAGUUUCUGAUCUCCAAAUCCUUUGAUCAUUGGAACAAAAGUGCUAUCUAUAACUUGGAGCUGUUUAUACCAUCUUCAACUUUGGUUAUAGACUCAUGGCGUGUUGAAACUUGGUUUGGACGAAUUUCGUUGAAAAAGGGGCUGGUUGUCUGUUCUUUGAAGUUGCCUGUUACUGCCGUUGCUCCAGCAGUCCGUCUGCCUGCUUGCCGACGGCGCCACCCCUUUGCUUCGCUUGACCGCCACGCAACUGCUGCCUCGCCACCGGAGCUCCCUAAGUGUCGCGCUCAAGCUCGUCACAACCGCCUCCACCCAUCCAUAAGUAGCAAGCCACCGCCGCCGUCCUUUUCUUUUCCCCAUCCACAAGAACCAAGACGAGCCGUGUUUCAGUCGCCAGUGAAAUCCAUCCCCGUUCGGUCUCUGCCCGUCGUUUCCCUCCGCCAGCACCGCUGCCUGGCAGUCCUCGACCCAUUCCUCCCGUCAUCGUCCAACCCCUUUCACUUUAGCGCUCUGCUCCGCUGGGGAUGGGACCUGUCACGGAAGGCCGCCAUCGCCGGCGUCACGUCCACGGCCGCGCCCGUCGUAGCCCCGCCCCUGCUCGUCCUCUCCGUCGCCGGCCUCGCACUGUCCCUCACCUUCGCCAGCGUGUUCGCCACCGAACGCCUCAUGGGCGCCCUGCUGCCGCCUCCCCGGACCCCGCUUUACCGCUUUACCACACCUGGGACGUCGAAGAUGAUGAGUUCCUGGAUGCGUCAGAAGCGCCCGGCGGCGAGGCCACUGUGUUCGACUACUGGAGCGAGACAGAGGACGGCGCCGUCAUGGAGAUGGAGGAAGAUGAGAGCUACGCGUCGUUGCCUCUGUCAAGGGAAUGUCGUCUGUUGGAAGAGCCGGCGCCGGCAUCGAGCGACGAUGAGGAUACGAUGCCAGAAGGUGAAUUUCGUUUCCAAGAAUCAGGCCACGAGUCAUUUGUGUUGGAUAAUAGUGCACAGAAAAGAGGAGGACAACAAGUAUAUUACCAUGGAGGCGGCGUUGCCCCCAAAGGACUUCGUGACUCCAUAUCAGCAGCACCGGCGUUGUGCGAGGAAGACGAUAUGGUUCCUAAAAUCAUAGAAGCCCUGGUCCAAGAGUUAUCUGUAUCAGACAGUGGAGAUAAAACAGAGGAUGGCAAGCGCACAGGUAUGGAUGAAGUGGAGUCUAGCAAGGAGAUGGUGUCACCGGGCAUCGGCAUCGGCACCACUGAAGUGAGAGGUUUCCCAGUGCCGGACGAUAACACGCUGCAGAGCGAGGUAGAAGGUGAUGUAGCAGUGGAAAUGUUGCAUCUAUUAUUUAAAAUGACUGCAGAACUAAUCUGUCUAAAAUGUUGAAUCUAUUAUUUAAAAGUGUUGGACAUACUGUUCGACAUUUACAAUAUGUUUUUGUGAAAAAAAAGUUGCUCAACGAGCUCCAGCACGUGUUCUGCUGCUAUUUUGCCUAGGCAUGUCCGGCUAUGUCCUGCUAUGCGUGCUUCGGCUUCACCUACGCUACGCUGCUAGUAAUUAGUCCAGCCACUUAUGAUGUACUUGGGUCGUGCGAUGCUGGAUCUUGUCCCCAACGCCGAGGGUAUCGAGUGCCCGGAAGGCGUUCGUCCAUGUCGUGAACGCGAACCCCGACGCGCGCAGCAUCAGCGACGACUCCAGCACCAGGCUUCUCACCCCUUUCCUGCACGGCACGAGCACGACACGGCCAGUUCGUCAGUCAACUCGACCGCGAUCUGAAUUGCUGAAUUGUACUACUAUACUGGAGUCUGGAAAGCAGAUGUGCUAGCUUACCUGUGUAGUCCGCGUGCCGUCGCGAGGCCGGCGAGCCCGGCGCCGGCGAUGACGAUGUCCUCGACGGCCUCCAUGGCUUGCGCUUGCGCCGGCUGUGGGCGCAUGUUGCCUGCUUGGUGGGAGUAGAACGAGAAGAGGCAGCAGACAGGGCCAAGAAGAAAAGCUCAGAGGAUAAACUACGUUCUGAUGGUCCAGGAGCUUCAUUGAUGCCUCUGUUUAUAACAAGAUGCUAGAGGGUGGCUGGAUACAGGACGAGCGGAUACCGUCUAGGGUCCGAGAAACUAGUCAAACAAUGAUUAGGGAAGAAAAAGAAGGAUCAGCUGCUGCUAGUCGGAGAGGGCAGGCGGGAGCGUCACGUGAGCUCACGAGACUUGAGUGCCUGGAGCACAUGGGAUUACAGACCGACGAUGAGCGAGGGUCCUCCGAUCGAGGGAGGAGCCUCACUGCCCGCCCCAGUAAUCACGACGGAGCCCUUGGAUCGUGGCGGUUGACGCGCGCGCUCUCGAUCGUACGGUGUGUGUGUGUGUUUCACGUAGGGGUACUUGCAACUUCCUUGUAGGAAAAAAAAACAAGUGUUUAGCUAGCGCCCAGAUUAAUGGUGUUGCAAAAUUCAAAUAUUUUUGAGAUAGCUCCAAGCCCGAAUUUAUAGUUACACCAAAUCAGCAUAGACAUUACACAUAAAAAAAUCACCAUGACUCUAAUGUGUUCGGUAUAAAAUGACUAACUAGAAAUUUUGAUGUUAAUGGCCAUUUAACACUCAAACUUUGUUUCCUUUCCUCCAUCCUUGCUAAGUAGGAAGAAAAGAGAUGGCAAAAUUCAGGUGUGGGGGCAAAUAAAAUGCCCGGACAUGGUUUAGAUAUUCACAUAAUAAUCUGCUCAUGAUUUGGUUGAUAUCACAUAAAAAUUCAGUGCUUGCUUGGUACUCUAAUGGCUGCGUCCAACAUUUUAUUUGUUUGCUUUCUUCUUGU